UGGCAGACACAAGGUGGUUGAG
rnacentral:misc_RNA from 1 species